UACAGACACCCAGAAGGAAACGCUGGC
rnacentral:piRNA from 1 species